GGUUGCGAUCAUACCAGCACUAAUGCACCGGAUCCUAUCAGAACUCCGCAGUUAAGCGUGUUUGGGCGAAAGUAGUUCUAGGAUGGGUGACCCCCUGGGAAGUCCUCGUGUUGCAACCC
rnacentral:rRNA from 1 species